AGGAUGAACGCUGGCGGCGUGCCUAAUACAUGCAAGUCGAGCGGUAAGGCCCCUUCGGGGGUACACGAGCGGCGGACGGCUGAGUAACACGUAGGAACAUACCCCAGAGUGAGGGAUAAGCACCGGAAACGGUGUCUAAUACCGCAUAACCUCUUCGGAGAAAAGCUUCGGCGCUUUGGGAAUGGCCUGCGCAUGAUUAGCUUGUUGGUGAGGUAAAAGCUCACCAAGGCGACGAUCAUUAGCUGGUCUGAGAGGAUGAUCAGCCAGACUGGGACUGAGAACGGCCCAGACUCCUACGGGAGGCAGCAGUAGGGAAUUUUCCACAAU
rnacentral:rRNA from 1 species